UACGAAGGGGGCUAGCGUUGGUCGGAAUUACUGGGCGUAAAGCGCACGUAGGCGGACUGUCAAGUCAGGGGUGAAAUCCCGGGGCUCAACCUCGGAACUGCCUUUGAUACUGUCAGUCUAGAGUCCGGAAGAGGUGGGUGGAAUUCCUAGUGUAGAGGUGAAAUUCGCAGAUAUUAGGAAGAACACCGGUGGCGAAGGCGGCCCACUGGUACGGAACUGACGCUGAGGUGCGAAAGCGUGGGGAGCAAACAGG
rnacentral:rRNA from 1 species